GAUGACGAUGAAGGCGGUCCACAUGGAGACCUUGAUGACGACGAGGACGAUGAGGAGGACGACGAGGAGGGCUCCGACGGAGACGAGGAUGAGGUCGGCCUGUCGUACCUGAUGAAGGAGGGAAUCCAGGACGAAGAGGACGACGGCGACUAUGUGGAAGAGGAGGAGGACGAAGAGGAGGAAGAGGAGGAUGGAGAUGAGGACGGAACAGCUGUUCGAGGGGAGAAGAGGAAGAGAGACGCCGAGGACGAAGGUGACGAUGAUGACGACGAGUAGUUGGACCGCCUUCACUCGCUAUACCACCUGACCCCGACCUCUUCUCAGACUCCGCCCCCUCCGAUGACCUCUGACCCCUGUUGGCCUCAGAGCUGCAGACUGGCAGGAGGUUCAGCUGAGAUCAGGUUCAGGAGCUCACUCACCUGCAUUUACCUGCUCAUAGCUGAUGACGUCAUCGUUACCUUGGUGACGUUAUCAGCUGACAAGCAGGUAACUAAUCAACAAGCUGACUGAUCAACAAUCCUGAUUGGUCUUAAGUUUUUCUACAACCACAGCUGCUGUGAAAUCUUAUUGAUUAUCAAUCAGCUGACCUCAAACACAUCUGACAGGUUUGUUUCUCAAUAGUAAAAAAAAUAUACGAAUAUGUAUAAACUAUUCAAGUCACAUCUCAUAAUGUUAAAGUCUCACCUUCAUGAUUAUGCAUAAGUGAUAAUACUGGAACUUAGGUUACAUCACUUUAAUAUUAAUUUCAUUUUGUGCUGCUUUCACUUUGGUAAAGCAUUUGAACAGAAACACGCUGCAUUGAUCUAAAAAUAGACUUUCAGCGCCGCCAUUUUCUCACUUUCGAGCAUUGUUAAAUGAAUCAUUUAGCAAUUUAUUGAUCUGAUAUCGAUCAAGUCUUCAAAUACGAGGUGUGAUCAAAAAGUUCAGAGUCUGCUUCUGUAAAAUUCAAAACUGAUUUAAAUUUAAUCUCCAUUUCACUUGAAGUGUCUUCUUGUGCAGUGAUGCUCUGCUUCCAGAGCUCCUGCAACACUUACAACAUUCCAACGUAACGGUGAUUUUAUUGUUGUGGACAAAAAAACCAAAUGCAUUUUCAGAGUGUCACAAUUCAGAUGGUUUACUGAUCCGUCCCUAACCCUCCAAGCUC